GACGAACGCUGGCGGCGUGCUUAACACAUGCAAGUCGAACGGAAAGGCCCUGCUUUUGUGGGGUGCUCGAGUGGCGAACGGGUGAGUAACACGUGAGUAACCUGCCCUUGACUUUGGGAUAACUUCAGGAAACUGGGGCUAAUACCGGAUAGGAGCUCCUGCUGCAUGGUGGGGGUUGGAAAGUUUCGGCGGUUGGGGAUGGACUCGCGGCUUAUCAGCUUGUUGGUGGGGUAGGGGCUUACCAAGGCUUUGACGGGUAGCCCGCCUGAGAGGGUGAACGGCCACAUUGGGACUGAGAUACGGACCAGACUCCUACGGGACGCAGCAGUCGGGAAUAUUGCACAAUGGGCGGGAGCCUGAUGCAGCAACGCCGCGUGCGGGAUGACGGCCUUCGGGUUGUAAACCGCUUUCGACUGUGACGAAGCGUGAGUGACGGUAAUGGGUAAAGAAGCACCGGCUAACUACGUG
rnacentral:rRNA from 1 species